rnacentral:rRNA from 1 species
GGCUCAGAACGAACGCUGGCGGCGCGUUUUAAACAUGCAAGUCGUACGAGAAUCCCGGUGCUUGCAUUGGGAGGAGAGUGGCGAACGGGUGAGUAACACGUGGAUAAUCUACCUCUAGGAUUGGGAUAACUACUCGAAAGGGUGGCUAAUACCGGAUAAGAUGGUAGCUGCAUAAGCAGCAGCCAUUAAAGAUGGGGACCGCAAGGCCUAUCACCUGGAGAUGAGUCCGCGGCCCAUUAGCUAGUUGGCGGGGUAACGGCCCACCAAGGCAACGAUGGGUAGCCGGCCUGAGAGGGUGACCGGCCACAUUGGGACUGAGAUACGGCCCAGACUCCUACGGGAGGCAGCAGUUAAGAAUCUUGCGCAAUGGGGGAAACCCUGACGCAGCGACGCCGCGUGGACGAUGAAGGCCUUCGGGUUGUAAAGUCCGAUAAGCAUGGAAGAAUAAGCAGCGGGUAAUAUUCGCUGUGAUGACGGUACCUGCCUAAAGCCCCGGCUAACUACGUGCCAGCAGCCGCGGUAAUACGUAUGGGGCAAGCGUUGUUCGGAAUUAUUGGGCGUAAAGGGCGUCUAGGCGGGGGAUUAAGUUAGGUGUGAAAUCCCUGGGCUCAACCCAGGAACUGCAUCUAAAACUGGUUCUCUUGAGUUCGGGAGAGGAGAGCGGAAUUCCCGGUGUAGCGGUGAAAUGCGUAGAUAUCGGGAAGAACACCAGUGGCGAAGGCGGCUCUCUGGCCUAGAACUGACGCUGAAGCGCGAAAGCGUGGGGAGCGAACGGGAUUAGAUACCCCGGUAGUCCACGCUGUAAACGUUGUGUACUAGGUGUUAGUGACUUGUUCACUAGUGCCGACGCUAACGCAUUAAGUACACCGCCUGGGGAGUAC